AUUGAACGCUGGCGGCAUGCUUUACACAUGCAAGUCGAACGGCAGCGCGGGCUUCGGCCUGGCGGCGAGUGGCGAACGGGUGAGUAAUGCAUCGGAACGUGCCCAGUAGUGGGGGAUAGCCCGGCGAAAGCCGGAUUAAUACCGCAUACGACCUGAGGGUGAAAGCGGGGGACCGAAAGGCCUCGCGCUCUUGGAGCGGCCGAUGUCGGAUUAGCUAGUUGGUGGGGUAAAGGCUUACCAAGGCGACGAUCCGUAGCUGGUCUGAGAGGACGACCAGCCACACUGGGACUGAGACACGGCCCAGACUCCUACGGGAGGCAGCAGUGGGGAAUUUUGGACAAUGGGGGCAACCCUGAUCCAGCCAUGCCGCGUGCGGGAAGAAGGCCUUCGGGUUGUAAACCGCUUUUGUUCGGGAAGAAAUGCUCUGGGCUAAUACCCCGGGGGGAUGACGGUACCGGAAGAAUAAGCACCGGCUAACUACGUG
rnacentral:rRNA from 1 species